rnacentral:rRNA from 1 species
UACAGAGGGGGCCAGCGUUAUUCGGAAUUAUUGGGCGUAAAGGGCGCGUAGGCGGCUUUGCGUGUCUUUCGUGAAAUCCCUCGGCUCAACUGAGGACGUGCGGAAGAAACUGCAGGGCUGGAGUCCGGGAGAGGAGGGUGGAAUUCCCAGUGUAGCGGUGAAAUGCGUAGAUAUUGGGAGGAACACCGGUGGCGAAGGCGGGUCUCUGGGCAACAACUGACGCUGAGGAGCAAAAGCGUGGGGAGCGAACAGG